rnacentral:rRNA from 1 species
UACAGAGGGGGCAAGCGUUAUUCGGAAUUAUUGGGCGUAAAGGGCGCGUAGGCGGCGAUUCAAGUGACGGGUGAAAUCCCUCGGCUUAACCGAGGAACUGCCUGUCAGACUGGAUUGCUUGAGGCCGGGAGAGGCGAGUGGAACUGCGAGUGUAGAGGUGAAAUUCGUAGAUAUUCGCAAGAACACCAGUGGCGAAGGCGGCUCACUGGCCCGGUACUGACGCUGAGGUGCGAAAGCGUGGGGAGCAAACAGG